rnacentral:rRNA from 1 species
UACGUAGGUGACAAGCGUUGUCCGGCUUUACUGGGCGUAAAGAGCGCGCAGGCGGUCGUUCAAGUCGAGUGUGAAAGCCCCCGGCUCAACUGGGGAGGGUCACUCGAUACUGAUCGACUUGAAGGCAGGAGAGGGAAGCGGAAUUCCCGGUGUAGUGGUGAAAUGCGUAGAUAUCGGGAGGAACACCAGUGGCGAAGGCGGCUUCCUGGCCUGCUCUUGACGCUGAGGCGCGAAAGCUAGGGGAGCGAACGGG